CAUCAGAGUAUCUUUCUUGAACACAAUAAAUACUUUAGAAAUGUUUUUAUUAAUUGACAGUGUAUGAAUAUUUCAUGCAUUUUCAUGAAUUUAGAAAAUCUUUUAAAUAACUAAGGGUCUAUAAACUUGCUUCCUUAAAUCUCUAUUUAAUCUACAUGUCCUCAGCCCUCAAAAUGGAUCCUAGUGAUGAUUCUUAUAUCUAAACAACAAUGUUCAUAACUUUUCACGCAUCAUUGUCCAGCCCUGCACAUCUCCGGGGCUAUUAUUCUCCCUGUAGGUGCCUUUUGUAAAGCCUUUUGUUAGAGUUGUGACUUUACACUGAGUUUCUAAACUUUUUGUGGAUAAUCUUAAUGUUCUAAUUUUCUCAUGAACUUAUUAUUUAAUAUGUUGACACUAUUAAUUACUUUGUCUUUUUAUCCAGAGAUCUGUUACUUUCCUUAAACUUUUAGUAGGUGAAAAACAACUCUGAGAAUGCAAAUAUUUCUUUCCAAUUUUUCCCCCUGAGUUUGUUGGCAAAGCAUGUACUUCUUUCCACCUGUUUGUUUUUUUUUAAAGAGUGUAUUUCCUUUAUCAAGAAUAUUUAUAAACUCCCUAUCUUUUAACAAGUCAACUAAAAUUUGGCCUUUUGUCAACAGACUAAAAGAUCCAGAAGUCAGCAAAAGCACAAAUAGAAUACAUUUCAUGGAAUAAAAAACUCUGGUUGUCAUAGAAUGGCCUUGACCUCAGUUAUCAAUCUCAUGGGCACAUGAAAGGUUGAGGAAAGAGUAGAGAAUAUCACCACUGUUUCUAAUAGGAUAUUCCAAUAGUAUUUCAGCUUCAGGAAUCCCGAGUGCUCCUGUUUUUUACUUCAUUAGUAAUUCAGUAUGUCUGACUGCCUAAACAAUACUUUCAGCUUGGUUUACCCAUCUGACCUGGAACAAAGUGAGAGCACAUUUUGCCCAGUUGAAAGGUCUCCUGCCAAGUUGGUUAGCAACAGGCUUGCCAGUCUCAGUUCAGUUAGCAAAGAAUAAACACAUUUCCUUGACAAUUACAAGGGUACUAACUUCCUCACUCCGCAGUUUUCUACAUUCGUAAACCAUUUUCUGCCCUGUUAUUCAACUUUUUACUUGUAAGUCUUGCCUCCUCAAGAAGAUUUUCAACUUCUUGAAGUUUCUACUUUUCUUGGUGGCCGUAAAGAACAGAGUUUAAUUGCAAAAGAAUGGGAAUCGAAUUAAAAUGUAUUUGAAGGAAAGCAGAAACGAUGCAAGUCUUACAUCUUCCCUCCGUACUUUGAUUUUGUGGCUUGAAGACGUACAAAUUAAGAAAUCAGGGUAUGGCUUCUACAAGUAUUACUUUCACUGUAGUUCUCUAGAAUUUGGUCACUUGGGAAUGGCUACUUGUAACAGUGCAAUACACGUGACAUGAGGGUUCUGCGAGAAAUACAGGCGCUCUGCCGUGCCUGUGACAAGAUGCCUUGAGAAUGACGCUCAGAAACUGCCCGUCGGAGCCAGUGGCGUCCGCUGAGCCCGGCGCGCACCUGCACCUGCUGACGGGGCAGCGCCAGACGGAGCGAGAACGUCCCUUAGUCCUACCCUCUGCGCUCUGGGACACGAGGGCCUGGGCGUCGCCACCCACAGCAGCCAGAGUAGAGGAAGCCACCUAAUGCCGGACUUAGGUCAUGUGUGUCCCGGGCGCCCUGCCUCCGCGGAUACCUCCGUAACUUCAAGCAGCCCAGCCCCACUUCGCUUAAAAGUGUAUUUACGGUUGUCAAGGCGCACACCGAAAAGCUCGCUCCGCUCGCCCAGAGCGCGCGAGGCCUCCUAGCCUGGAAACAAGCCCCUCCCAGCGCAGCUGUCGCCGCCGCCCGCGGGCUCCUUUCACUUUCUCACGGCCAAGUCCCCCAGAGGGGCGCCGCUGCCGCCACCGCCGCUGCGCCCGCCCGACGACUCCGCCUGCACCGCCUUGCUACCAGCCCCGCCCGGACCCGCCCAUCCCAACAGUUUCUGUUUGCGAUUGGCACGCGCGAGCGGCAGCUUCAGUUCGCC
ensembl:lncRNA